rnacentral:rRNA from 1 species
CGUGCAGGCGGUUUCGUAAGUCGGACGUGAAAGCUCCUGGCUCAACUGGGAGAGGUCGUUCGAUGCUGCGGGACUUGAGGUUGGGAGAGGGACGUGGAAUUCCCGGUGUAGUGGUGGAAUGCGUAGAUAUCGGGAGGAACACCAGUGGCGAAGGCGGCGUCCUGGCCCACACCUGACGCUAAGACGCGAAAGCGUGGGUAGCGAACG